GGGGGGGGCAAGCGUUGUUCGGAAUUACUGGGCGUAAAGGGCGCGUAGGCGGCCCGGCCAGUCCCUUGUGAAAUCCCACAGCUCAACUGUGGAACUGCAGGGGAUACUGCCAGGCUUGAGUCCGGGAGAGGGGAGUGGAAUUCCCAGUGUAGCGGUGAAAUGCGUAGAUAUUGGGAGGAACACCGGUGGCGAAGGCGGCUCCCUGGACCGGUACUGACGCUGAGGCGCGAAAGCUAGGGGAGCAAACGGGAUUAGAUACCCCGGGUAGUCCUAGCUGUAAACGUUGAGCAUUGGUGUGGCGGGUAUCGACCCCCCUGCUGUGCCGAAGCUAACGCAUUAAGUGCUCCGCCUGGGGGAGUACGGUCGCAAGGCUGA
rnacentral:rRNA from 1 species